rnacentral:lncRNA from 1 species
ACGUUAUAGGUCCAACAAUAUUAUCUCUCGAAGAACAACGACUUAUGGAAUCCCUUGAAAGGAUUAACAACAAAUUAAAAGCAUCAAGAAUUACAAAAUAUCAGUGAAAGUAAACUUCCAGCGGCAGAAGAACACAAGAAAUUAAUCUGUGAUAUAUUUAAAAUGAAACAAUUAAAAAAAAAAAAAACUCUAUAAUGAAAA